GUGCAGGCGUGGGCUGGGCACACUCCUCUGAGUCGUUCCAACCCACCCUCUGUGAGCGAGAGAAUCAGGACUGGUUUGGGGUGUCCCACAGACGCAGGACACCACAGCUGCCAGCACAACU
rnacentral:snoRNA from 1 species